UGAGGAAUUUUGCGCAAUGGGGGGAACCCUGACGCAGCAACGCCGCGUGAGUGAAGAAGGCCUUCGGGUCGUAAAGCUCUGUCGAGUGGGAAGAACAUUUUCAUGGUGAAUAUCCAUGGGGAUUGACGGUACCACAGAAGGAAGCACCGGCUAACUCCGUGCCAGCAGCCGCGGUAAUACGGAGGGUGCAAGCGUUAUUCGGAAUUAUUGGGCGUAAAGAGCGCGUAGGCGGCCUGUCAAGUCAGGUGUGAAAUCCCGGGGCUCAACCCCGGAAGCGCAUUUGAUACUGUAGGGCUUGAGUAUGGGAGAGGGAAGUGGAAUUCCUGGUGUAGCGGUGAAAUGCGUAGAUAUCAGGAGGAACACCGGUGGCGAAGGCGGCUUCCUGGACCAAUACUGACGC
rnacentral:rRNA from 1 species